rnacentral:misc_RNA from 1 species
GAUGAAGAACGUAGCGAAAUGCGAUAAGUAAUGUGAAUUGCAGAAUUCAGUGAAUCAUCGAAUCUUUGAACGCACAUUGUGCCCCCUGGUAUUCCGGGGGGCAUGCCUGUUCGAGCGUCAUUUCACCACUCAAGCCUCGCUUGGUAUUGGGCAACGCGGUCCGCCGCGUGCCUCAAAUCGACCGGCUGGGUCUUCUGUCCCCUAAGCGUUGUGGAAACUAUUCGCUAAAGGGUGCUCGGGAGGCUACGCCGUAAAACAAACCCAUUUCUAAGGUUGACCUCGGAUCAGGUAGGGAUACCCGCUGAACUUAAGCAUAUCAAUAAGCGGAGGA